CAAAUCCUAUUCUCUUGA
rnacentral:tRNA from 1 species